UUGACCCAGAGUAAAUGUUCCUGCUCUUCUGGAGAGAGGGGGUUCCUGGCUUUGGGAGGCACCGCUUUUACGGAAGGAGGUUUUUAGAGAAGAGAGAGACACAGGAAGACGGCGGCCUCGGAGGAAGGUCCGUGGUUGAACUGCCGCGGGUCUCACAGCUCCCAGGGCUUCUGCAGCGGAGCGGAAAGCCCGGCGGGCACAUCAGUGCACGUGCACGUGCGAAGUCUGCCCCUGUCGGCCAGCCAUCGUGGUUGAUUAGCCACCCGGAAAUGUCUGAAACUAUUUACGUUGGAAGGAGACUCAUGCAGCCACUGUGCCGUGUGGAAAACGGACUGGAAGGAGAGCCAGAGUGGAUGCUGGAGACCUGAGAGGCUGGGCCAGCUGAGGGAGGUGUUAAAGAGGAGUUGAAGACAGACUAGCCCUGACCCUUUCCUCUUGAUGUAAGCAAAAGAAUUGGGACUAAGAACAGAAGACCUUUCUGCCUGUGAGGUUCAGCAUUAUUUAAGUCCGUAUCCAUGAAACCAACCACAAUACUUCAUAGAGCAUCUCAAACCAGGCCCCUGCUUUCAUAAGCGGUUCUAAGGACCACAGCGUGGGAAGAGGCUUUAACGGUCCCUCGUCCCAUCUGGUGCUCGGCUCCCCACUGAAUCAGCCUUCUAUGGUGCGAGUAACAGAAGCCAACUCUGGGCAAGUUAAAC